rnacentral:rRNA from 1 species
AGUGAACGCUGGCGGUAGGCCUAACACAUGCAAGUCGAACGGCAGCACAGUAAGAGCUUGCUCUUACGGGUGGCGAGUGGCGGACGGGUGAGGAAUACAUCGGAAUCUACUUUUUCGUGGGGGAUAACGUAGGUAAACUUACGCUAAUACCGCAUACGACCUACGGGUGAAAGCAGGGGAUCUUCGGACCUUGCGCGAUUGAAUGAGCCGAUGUCGGAUUAGCUAGUUGGCGGGGUAAAGGCCCACCAAGGCGACGAUCCGUAGCUGGUCUGAGAGGAUGAUCAGCCACACUGGAACUGAGACACGGUCCAGACUCCUACGGGAGGCAGCAGUGGGGAAUAUUGGACAAUGGGCGCAAGCCUGAUACAGCCAUACCGCGUGGGUGAAGAAGGACUUCGGGUUGUAAAGCCCUUUUGUUGGGAAAGAAAAGCAGCAGGUUAAUACCCCGCUGUUCUGACGGUACCCAAAGAAUAAGCACCGGCUAACUUCGUG